UGGGGAAUCUUGCGCAAUGGGCGAAAGCCUGACGCAGCAACGCCGCGUGGGGGAAGAAGGCUUUCGGGUUGUAAACCUCUUUCAGGGGGGACGAAGCCACCGGGGUUAAUAGCCCACGGGGUGACGGUACCCCCAGAAGAAGCCCCGGCUAACUACGUGCCAGCAGCCGCGGUAAUACGUAGGGGGCAAGCGUUGUCCGGAAUCAUUGGGCGUAAAGCGCGUGUAGGUGGCUUGGUAAGUCCGGUGUGAAACCUUGGGGCUCAACCCCAAGCCUGCAUCGGAUACUGCCUCGCUCGAGUUCGGGAGGGGAGAGCGGAAUUCCUAGUGUAGCGGUGAAAUGCGCAGAUAUUAGGAAGAACACCGGUGGCGAAAGGCGGCUCUCUGGAACGAUACUGACACUGAGACGCGAAAGCGUGGGUAGCGAACAGGAUUAGAUACCCUGGUAGUCCCUGAGCGGGCUGGCAAGGCG
rnacentral:rRNA from 1 species